rnacentral:lncRNA from 1 species
ACAAGAGCAGAUACGCCAUUUUCUUUAGCUUUCUUCUUCCUCACAACACAUACACUACACACAGCUUCAACGCAUACACACAGUCACGAUUGAAAAAAGAGAGAUCUACGAGAGAAAAGGGGAGAAAUCGAGAGAAACCAAAAAGAGAGGGAGAGAAUGAAAUCGAGUGAGAGGUAGAGGUGAGGAUCGAAAGGGGAGGUAGAGUCGCGUUUGGUUACUGUUCUGAUGACACAGUUGCCGGAGAACAUCGAUAUGACGUCCUUCAUCGAAAAGGGUCCCUCAUCAACGAUCUCAGUCAAAAUUAGCUUAAAUCACCCGUAAACCCAUCAUAAAUAAAUGGUUAAACAACCAACCUCCACCAGAAAUCAAUAGCCGAGUCUACCGGUAAAACCCACUUUCAUUUUCAAUGAAAUCUCACCGGGAAACAUUAUUUCGCUGACUGUCGAGAUCCAUCAAAACUUUGAUGAGUUCAAACUUCACCAAAAAUAGCAAAUCCGACGAGACCCGUUGCAAAUUGAGUUCGAAAUUUGAGUUUUGGAUUUUAUUUUUUAUGGUUUUCUCCGCUGUUUUAGGGGGUUUUGAUUGAGUUGGCAAGUUCGUAGUCGAGGUUCGAAUUGAGGUUCUUUUGUGCGCGGAUUCUGUGUUUUUUAUUGACUGAUAUUUGGAAUAAAAUCAUCAUCGAGGUCCAAUUCUACUCUUUACCUCUUUUUGUUUUAUUGUUGAUGGUAUCUGAUGCAUUGAUUUUAAUAUUGUGUGUUGGUUGAUUCGUGAUUAUGUGAAUUAUUGUUGUUCUGGUUCAGUAUUUGAUUCUCUUCAUUAUGGAUUGAUUAUGGAUUAUGUGAUGAAAUGAUAUCUCGUUUGAGAAUUAAAAUUGAUUGUUGUGGGGCAGAAGUUAAAAGUUGAUAAAAAUAUUUUUUGUUGUUUUGAUUCAUUGAUAUCGAACUUGAUAGUAUCCUGAUAGGUCGAAUUGGAUAGGCAAAAUAUUCAGGUACGGGUAGGCAAAAGUUAGGAGUGAUGUGUUGAUUCAAUGCAGCGAAUGUUAAAAUGUGUGUUGAAUGGUUUUGUUUUAUCACUUUUGGAUCAAUUGUACUAUUUGGCCGGGGAAUGCCCCGAAGUAUCUAUAUAUCUUUAUUCACCAGGGAAUGUCCUGAGGUAUUUUGUACCCGAAGGACGUUCGUGAUGAAGGCCCGAGGCGUUGGGUAAAGCACGGGAGCGUAGUUAAUGUUAGUGUAGGUUAGAUAGGAUUUAUUUUUGUAUUUUUCUAUUUUGGACUGUAUAAAUUAGACUGGACACUGUACUAUUGAUUCUUUUUGUUUUGUUUGUUUGUUUGAUUGUUUUACGUGUUUUGUGUGGGUUGUACAUUCAUAGUGUCAAAAUUAGCCGAUACGCUCCACCAAGCGAUUUCCCGAAAAAUCAAAAAUGUUAAAAAAAUUUCCUACUAUUUCUUUAGUAAGCAUUCAUAAUUUGAAAACUCCAAAAAUAUUAUUUUCCUUUCAAUAGGAGCUUUGUACAUUUGUAUAUAGUGAAAAUGCCAAAGAGAUUUUCCUUCGUAAUUGUUGGUGUCAGUUUUAGUUGAAGUGGCUAAUUAAAAACCCAAAAAAAAUUUUAUUCGUUUGUCUUUGGUGGUGUCUCUUAAGUUAGGGUCAAUCUGUUAGUUAGUCGAUAUUUGUCCAAUCUGGACGAACUACGCACCCCGGAUUCUCCUCUUUCGGGAUAUGAUAUAUAUAUAUAUAUAUUACUUUAUUGCACUCAUUUCCCGAAAAAUCAAAAAUGUUAAAAAAAUUUCCUACUAUUUCUUUAGUAAGCAUUCAUAAUUUGAAAACUCCAAAAAUAUUAUUUUCCUUUCAAUAGGAGCUUUGUACAUUUGUAUAUAGUGAAAAUGCCAAAGAGAUUUUCCUUCGUAAUUGUUGGUGUCAGUUUUAGUUGAAGUGGCUAAUUAAAAACCCAAAAAAAAUUUUAUUCGUUUGUCUUUGGUGGUGUCUCUUAAGUUAGGGUCAAUCUGUUAGUUAGUCGAUAUUUGUCCAAUCUGGACGAACUACGCACCCCGGAUUCUCCUCUUUCGGGAUAUGAUAUAUAUAUAUAUAUAUUACUUUAUUGCACUCAUUUCCCGAAAAAUCAAAAAUGUUAAAAAAAUUUCCUACUAUUUCUUUAGUAAGCAUUCAUAAUUUGAAAACUCCAAAAAUAUUAUUUUCCUUUCAAUAGGAGCUUUGUACAUUUGUAUAUAGUGAAAAUGCCAAAGAGAUUUUCCUUCGUAAUUGUUGGUGUCAGUUUUAGUUGAAGUGGCUAAUUAAAAACCCAAAAAAAAUUUUAUUCGUUUGUCUUUGGUGGUGUCUCUUAAGUUAGGGUCAAUCUGUUAGUUAGUCGAUAUUUGUCCAAUCUGGACGAACUACGCACCCCGGAUUCUCCUCUUUCGGGAUAUGAUAUAUAUAUAUAUAUAUUACUUUAUUGCACUCAUUUCCCGAAAAAUCAAAAAUGUUAAAAAAAUUUCCUACUAUUUCUUUAGUAAGCAUUCAUAAUUUGAAAACUCCAAAAAUAUUAUUUUCCUUUCAAUAGGAGCUUUGUACAUUUGUAUAUAGUGAAAAUGCCAAAGAGAUUUUCCUUCGUAAUUGUUGGUGUCAGUUUUAGUUGAAGUGGCUAAUUAAAAACCCAAAAAAAAUUUUAUUCGUUUGUCUUUGGUGGUGUCUCUUAAGUUAGGGUCAAUCUGUUAGUUAGUCGAUAUUUGUCCAAUCUGGACGAACUACGCACCCCGGAUUCUCCUCUUUCGGGAUAUGAUAUAUAUAUAUAUAUAUUACUUUAUUGCACUCAUUUCCCGAAAAAUCAAAAAUGUUAAAAAAAUUUCCUACUAUUUCUUUAGUAAGCAUUCAUAAUUUGAAAACUCCAAAAAUAUUAUUUUCCUUUCAAUAGGAGCUUUGUACAUUUGUAUAUAGUGAAAAUGCCAAAGAGAUUUUCCUUCGUAAUUGUUGGUGUCAGUUUUAGUUGAAGUGGCUAAUUAAAAACCCAAAAAAAAUUUUAUUCGUUUGUCUUUGGUGGUGUCUCUUAAGUUAGGGUCAAUCUGUUAGUUAGUCGAUAUUUGUCCAAUCUGGACGAACUACGCACCCCGGAUUCUCCUCUUUCGGGAUAUGAGAUACGUAGGCAACUUAUUGUUGGUUCGGGGAUCUUAUUUCAAAAAUCCAUAAAAAUAUUUUAUUCAUUCUUCAUUUAGAGUAGGUGUUUCAUAUACAUCUUCAAGAGAAAACUACAAAAGAUUUUCCUUUAAUAGUUUCAAGUUUCAUUUUCGAAUGAAAUUCAAAAUUGAAAAAGCCAAAAGAUUUUCUUUGGUAAUUAUAGGUUUUAUUUCAUAUAGAAAUCUGAAAAAUUCGAAAAAAAAAAAUCUUCUUCACUCUACAUUUAGAGUAGGUGUCAUAUACGUCUCUCAAAAGAAAACUACAAAAAGAUUUUUCUUUAAUAGGUUCAAGUUUCAUUUUUGCAUGAAAUUCAAAUAUCAAAAAUCCAAAAAGAUUUUUCUUUGGUAAUCAUAGGUUUCGUUUUGUAUAGGGAGUUUAAACCUGAAAAAUGCAAAAAGAUUUUCAUUAGUUCUUUUGACAAUUUGUUAUUUUUGAAGUUUCAAGAAAAAGAAAAAGAAAGAAAAAAUAGUUUAAUUGGCCAUUUUGGCAAAACUUCACAAAAUAGUUUAAUUGGCCAUUUUGGCAAAACUUCACGAACUACGCACACCUGAUUCUCUUCUCUCGGGGGUGAGAUACGUAGGCGCCCUUCUUGGGUUCGGUGAUCUACUCUAAUAGAAAAAAGGUUUUGAAGAAAAAUGUUGAACUCUAACAUAUUUGUUGCCUCUUGUUCAGUUAGUUUAAGGUGGUUGUUUUGUGGCUGCCUUGCUGGUCCUCCAUAUCAUAUCAAAUCCGAAGAAAGUUUAGUUGUGUCCAAAAAGGAUAUAGAGAGUGGCAUCAUGGAUGAAACAAAGAGUCAGGAAAUUGAGAGUUUAAAGAAAGAGAAUUUGAGACUGAGACAAAUGGUGGAAAUGUACCGAGCUUAGGUCAGUGGGUUGUCUCCACCCCCGUUCCCCAUUUUUGGCCCUACAAAUACCUUGAGUCUUCUACCAAAAUUGCAAAAUCAAUUUCCUACUAUUAUUGAUGCACCACAACAUGCCUUAAAAUCCAUUCCACGUCAAAUUCACCUCAAUACUUCCACCACUCUUUCUUUAGCUCCUCAAUAUAAGUCUACCAUAUUCGUAACACCACAUACCGUCUGUGCUUUUGUUACUCAACCUUCUACUAAGGUUUCCACUUUGGCAAUCAAUCCAACGAUUGUGCUUCCCCAGUCCACUAGUGAAUCCGCAUUCAAUACUCUUGAUGAUCAUUGUUAUACUCUUGAGCCUACAGUUAAGUUAAGUGAACCGCCAAAAUUUCUUACUAAGAAGCCUAGCAUGCUAGAAAAGCUUGAGAAAAUGGUUCGGAAGGUUAAGGGUGUAGAAAAUGAUAUGAAAAGUUCCUUGGGACUUGUGGGAUAUGAAGAUGUUUCAUAUAAAAACUGGGGUAUGUUUCCAAGUGUUGACCUUCUUCCAAGCUUUGAGACAUCAAAAUUUGAGGAGCUUGAUGGACAGAAUAAUUUUGUGAAAUAUUUGGGACGAUAUUGCAAUCGAUCAAUGAAAACUGAAGAAAAGAAAAAGAAAAAUGCCCCCGUUGUCGUGCCAGGGACAAAGUAGAGUUUAAGAGGUCUAUCUUACCAAUACUGUCAGCCUCAAUCUUGAGCUUACAUAUCAAAUCCACUUACUCAUCUGCAGCAAGGUUCCUCUUUUCAAAAUCCAAAGACUUUCAUUCCACUUCCUCAAUGUCCUUUGAAUAAUGCACAAUUGUUUACCCAUCCGUCUUCUUAUCCAAAAUGGCAUGCACAUAUCCCUCAACAUCAUCAUCGACCCCCACAAAUUUACCAAGGAACCUCUAAAUCAACAUUUCAUUCGAGGCCAGAGUUUGCAAUGAUGAGGAAAGAAAAGGAUAAUUUUACUCCUAUUAGGGAAUCUUAUGCAUGUUUGUUCCAGAGAUUGAGACAUAGGGGCAUGAUUACUCCUCUCCUUGGGCACACGCUUAAUCGAUGUUCAAAAAAUUUUAAUCCUAAUGUACGUUGUGCAUAUCAUUCUAAUGCUCAAGGUCAUAGUAUUGAAGAUUGUCGAGAUUUGAAAAGAGAAAUUGAAAAGAUGAUUCAAGAUGGAUCAAUUAUGGUGCAAAAUAUUAACAGUGAGGAAAGCUCUAGUCAUGCUGAUAUGCAAACCAGUGGCUAAUUUAUCAGGCUGAGCAAUUGAGAAGUCACCCCUNNNNNNNNNNNNNNNNNNNNNNNNNNNNNNNNNNNNNNNNNNNNNNNUUUCUGUUGUCCGAAUUAUUUUAGGAUUGUAGUUCGGGAUCGAUCUUGUUUUGUCCCUUUGUUGUUUAUGCUCAAACCCUUCUAUCUUUUGUUUCAACUAAAUGAAGUGUCCCAUUUUCUUUGUGUUUUAAAUAUGUGUUGUUUGUUUGUUUUCUUUACAUAGUACAUUUUUAUGUUGAUUCUAGUGAUAUGACAUGCUAGUAAAAUUUUCAACCAUAUCUUAUAAUUUAGUUUAAACAUGAACAUUGAAUCAGAUGAUUAAAGUUAGAAAAGAGGGCAUAUGAGAAAACAGAUAGAGUGCUGGGGCAUUUGGUGAUUAAGUUGAAGCCUUCUUUGAAAAUUAAGGCAAUUAUUUUGAGAAUUGUGAGAAUAACUUGGUCAUCAAUUUAAAGACAUAUCUUAAUUAAGUCAAGUGGUGAAUCAAUCCUAUGUCAAAAGGAGCAGAAAGAAAAUCAGCUCCAUGAUGUCAUGAGUCCUUCUUCAUGAGGAAUGUACAAAGAAAGUGGAGUUGUAUGUUUGACAAGGGUAGAAGAAGAAUUGGCACACAUGCUUAGUUGAAGUUAGUACUGUUAAAGUGUCACAAAUGAUUUUUAUCUUUUAUUUCAUAUUGCAUGAUAUGUACUUACAUUUUCAAGGAUUGAUAUGAUGAAGGAAUUUCAUUCUGCUAUCCAAACAUUGUGUCAUCCUUUGUUUACCCUAUUUGAGCCUUAUUCUAUUUUAUUUCAUACCCCUCUUUUGGAAUCAAGAUAGAGUCAGUAAAAUUCAAAAGAAAAGUGUCGAGCAAAAGACUAGAAUCAGAAAAGUUUUCAAAAGAAGAAGAGAAAAAAACGUGUCCAAAAAGAGAAAAGUGUCAAGACAAAUAGAGUCAGAAUAUCUAAAUAGAAAAGAAUGUCAACAAAAGGAAAAAUCAGAAUCAAGCAAAGGAACAAGCUGCCAUAACUAUGCAUGAACUGAUUCUCCUCUCUCGGGGGUGAGAUACGUAGGCUGCCCUACUAAGGGCUCGGUCAAACCAAAUAAAUAAUUUAGCGUCACCCAGUCAAAAGAAACUGGAGCAUGAGUUAAUCCUUAUUAUUUGAGUCGAUUUCAAAAUUUGUAAGUCCCACCCCACUUCAAGUGUCGUUUGGGCCCCACGCUAUCCUUUUUUUCUAGCCCAAUCCAAAAGCCAAGUAACAACCAAAGAAAGACCUUCGGAUCAAUCUUUGAGAAUGUUAAGACUAAGCACGCGAUGGAUGUGAUGACACAUUUUAGGAACUACUAGUCUUCCUAUGCAUAAGAAAUCAGGAGAGAAAUAAAUGAGAGAGUCUUAUUGGUGAAAACCCUCACAGGCACCAUAAGGCGACGGUGAGUUGAGAAAAAAAUAAGAGAGGCUUGUUGACAAAAAUCCUUCAAUGUGCCACUAGCUGAAUGAGCUCUUCGAAUGCAAUGGGUUUAAGCAAGUAACUUAAUUUCAGAGCCACUAACUCAACAACAAUUGGUAGAAAGUUUGGAUGGAAAGAUCAGGCGACUUGAUCCAAAAUGCAUGGCACAAUCAUUAGAGUUGACUGUCACUUCUAGAUAAAUUUUUCAUUUCUUUAUUUCAAAUGGGGACAUUCAUUGUCUUUUCUCGCUUCUCUUUAUUUUUAUUUUAUUUUUCUUUAGUCAGUUGUCCAAAUAAAAUCAUUGCCAUUUUUUCUCUUAUUUUUGAGUCAAGUUCAUGUCAAAAUAAGUGAGAAAAGAUCUCAAAAUUGGCUACCAGCUUCUUCAAUUGCACAAAGCAAGAUAAAAGGGCCAGCACAUGUAAAAGAUAUGAUUAUGAGCCGAAAUAAGGCAUACAAAAAUUUUGUCAAUAGACAAGUCUGAGAACUUAUGGAAAUAGCAAGGUUCAGGGGUUUAUCUGAGGAGCAUGACAAAGCAGAGAUACCAUGUUUGUUUCAGAGUCACUGUUAAUAAUCUAAGUGUGGAUCAGUGAUGCAAUAAGUCAACGAAAUACGCUAAUGGUUGGAAGCAAGAUUAAUGUGAUAGGGGCAAGAGUGAUUGCCACGAAAGCCAAAGCCACAGACCAUCCACCAUAUUUUUAAACUAACAAGCUUUCUUUGUAUGAAACAGGAACACAUGCUACCUUCGAAGCAAGGAUUUCAAAGCCUAAAGAUCAAAGGCCGUAAUAUUCUCACUUCUUCAAAUGCAGGAAACAAUAUUGUUAAUCAAAACCAUGGUAAAACACAUCAUCCAAUAUCUCUAGGAGACGCACUUCCUUUUUUGGACAAUUCAAGCAACAUUUGUAAGGAGAUGCACUUCCUUAUUUUGGUAAUUCAAGCGCUAUCAUAAGGAGACGCACUUUCAAAGGAGACGCACUUCCUUGUUUGGUAAAUCAAGUAGUAUUGGUAAGGAGACGCACUUCAUUGUUUGGUAAUUCAAGCAGUAUUUGUAAGAAGACGCACUUCCUUGUUUGGGUAAUUUAAGCAACAUUUGUAAGGAGAUGAACUUCCUUGUUUGAGUUAUUUAAGAGACAUUUGUUAGGAGACGCAUUUCCUUGUUUUGGUAAUUCAAGCGGUGUUGGUAAGGAAAAGCACUUCCUUGUUUGGUUAAUUCAAGCAACAUUUGCAAGGAGACGCACUUCCUUGUUUAGGAAAUUCGAGCAAUAUUUUUAAGAAGAAGCACUUCCUUAUUUAGUUAAUUCAAGAAACAUUUGUAAGGAGAGGCACUUCCUUGUUUGGGGCAAUUCGAGCAACAUUUGUAAGGAGAAGCACUUCCUUAUUUAGUUAAUUCAAGAAAUAUUUGUAAGGAGACACACUUUCUUUUUUGGAUAAAUUCGAGCAAUAUUUGUAAGGAGAUGCACUUCCUUAUUUUGGUAAUUCAAGAAAUAUUUGUAAGGAGAUGCACUUCCUUGUUUGGGUAAUUCCAGCAAUAUUUGUUGAGGAAACACACUUUCUUGUUUGGGCAAUUCAAGCAACAUUUGUAAAGAGACGCACUUCCUUGUUUGGGUAAUUCCAUCAAUAUUUGUUGAGGAAACGCACUUUCUUGUUUGGGCAAUUCAAGCAACAUUUGUAAAGAGACGCACUUCCUUGUUUGGGCAAUUCAAGCGACAUUUGUAAGGAGAUGCACCUCCUUGUUUAGUCAAUUCAAGAAACAUUUGUGAGGAGACGCACUUCCUUAUUUGGGCAAUUCAAGUGAUAUUUGUGAGGAGACGCGCUUCUUUGUUUGGGUAAUUCCAGCAAUAUUUGUAAGGAGACGCACUUCCUUGUUUGGGUAAUUCAAGAAGGAUUUGAUAAGGAGACGCACUUCCUUGUUUGGGUAAUUCAAGCAACAUUUAUAAGGCGACGCACUUCCUGUUUAGGCAAUUCAAGAAAUAUUUGUAAGGAGACGCACUUCCUUCUUUGAGUAAUUUAAGAGACAUUUGUGAGGAGACGCACUUCCUUAUUUGAGUAAUUCAAGCGACAUUGGUAAGAAGACACACUUCCUUAUUUUGGUAAUUCAAGCGGCAUUGGUAAGGAGAUGCACUUCCUUGUUUUGAUAAUUCAAGCAACAUUGAUAAGGAGAUGCACUUCCUUGAUUGGGUAAUUUGAACUUUUCUUUUUGGGUAAUGCACUUCCUAACUUAAGUCUUGAUUCCUAGUAGAUGCACCUCCUAGUCGAGUCAGUCCCCUUGAUUUCUAGAAAAUGCACUUUCUAGUCGAGUUAUUGCACUUAAUCCUUAGGAGACGCACUUCUUUGCUAGUUUUUAUUUGUCAGGUGACACACUUUUUAACUUAAACUUGUAUCUCUAGAAGACGCAUUUCAUGUUAAAAUCCCUCACUUUAAUUCUUAGGAGACUCACUUCCUAGUCUUGGUUAUUCAAUUUUACUCUCAAGAGAUGCAUUUCUUGAUCAGAGUCUUGAUUCAUCGUUGCAACAUGCAAGUAGAUAUGAUGUGAAAUUUUCAUUUUUGAUGUAAUGACAGAGCCGCGAACUGGAAUCUCGAUGGAACCUCACUCGACUCUCCAACACAGUAUAGUCCUUCUCUCUCCAAUCCUUUGAGAUACCCAUCACUUAAUUCCUCCAUAACUUGGGUAGGUAGGUUGUCCUAAGUCAGGACUCAAUUGUCCUUCUUCCUUCUGUUUCUUCCUUUGAAUAUUGGUCAGGAUAAAAUUCUGUUUUGUUGUCUACUUCUUUGUCUGAUUACAUUCAAAGGGGGCAUGAUGUAGACACCUAAUUUCGUCCCUCCCCGACAUCUCUUUUACCCAUUUUUACUUUAUCCUACCGUGUACCCUCAUCUACGUGAUAAUCCCACAAAAAUACAAAAAAAUAACAAAAAUUCAAUAAAUCCCUAACCUUAUCAUAACAAACUUUAUCCUAAUCACCUACUACCCCACCCCUCUCACGUGACCCUCACCCUUUCCUUUUCUUGUCCACAAGCAUAUUCCCUUAACAGAAUUGAGAAAAUGAAUUUUCAAGGAAACUUCCAUAUGCACACCUCACUCAUAGACCCCACUAUUUUGUUUCUUUUUGUUUUCAUUUUUAUCAUGCACACACAACAACUUGGGAGGGACCCAUGGAGGGAAGAUUCCCAAUUCUCAUUCAAUUUAGAGGGACCCACAGAAGGAAAAAGGCUUCGAGUUUCUUGAAUUCAAUAUAUACAUCAUUUAUUUUUCUUCUUCUUGGUGGACAAAAAAUUGACAAGAGUAGAUACGUCAUUUUCUUUAGCUUUCUUCUUCCUCACAACACAUACACUACACACAGCUUCAACGCACACAUAGAGUCACGAUUGAAAAGAGAGAGAGCUGUGAGAGGGAGGGGGGAGAAAUCGGGAGAAACCAAAAAGAGAGGGAGAGAAUGAAAUCGAGUGAGAGGUAGAGGUGAGGAUCGAAAGGGGAGGUAGAGUCGCGUUUGGUUACUGUUCUGAUGACACAGUCGCCGAAGAACAUCGAUAUGACGUCCUUCAUCGGAAAGGGUCCCUCAUCAAUGAUCUCAGUCAAAAUUAGCUUAAAUCACCCGUAAACCCAUCAUAAAUCAAUGGUUAAACAACCAACCUCCACCAGAAAUCAAUAGCCGAGUCUACCGGUAAAACCCACUUUCAUUUUCAGUGAAAUCUCACCGGGAAACAUUAUUUCGCUGACUGUCAAGAUCCAUCAAAACUUUGACGAGUUCAAACUUCACCAAAAAUAGCAAAUCCGACGAGACCCGUUGCAAAUUGAGUUCGAAAUUUGAGUUUUGGAUUUUAUUUUUUGUGGUUUUCUCCGCUGUUUUAGGGGGUUUUGAUUGAGUUGGCAAGUUCGUAGUCGAGGUUCGAAUUGAGGUUCUUUGGUGCGCGGAUUCUGCCUUUUUGAUUGACUGAUAUUUGGAAUAAAAUUGUCAUCAAGGUCCAAUUCUACUCUUUACCUCUUUUUAUUUUAUUGUUGAUGGUAU